UUAAAUUGAAGAGUUUGAUCAUGGCUCAGAUUGAACGCUGGCGGCAGGCCUAACACAUGCAAGUCGAACGGUAACAGAAAGCAGCUUGCUGCUUUGCUGACGAGUGGCGGACGGGUGAGUAAUGUCUGGGAAACUGCCUGAUGGAGGGGGAUAACUACUGGAAACGGUAGCUAAUACCGCAUAACGUCGCAAGACCAAAGAGGGGGACCUUCGGGCCUCUUGCCAUCGGAUGUGCCUAGAUGGGAUUAGCUUGUUG
rnacentral:rRNA from 1 species